AGGGAAGUGAAGGCGCAGAAACUG
rnacentral:siRNA from 1 species